UGAGUACGAGCUGCUACGGCAGCGAAGUGGGUGAUGUCAAGCUUCCAAGGAAAGCCCUAUACCCGUUAAGGCAUGACGGCCUGUACCCGAAACCGACACAGGUGGGGUGGUAGAGAAUACCGAGGGGCGCGAGAUAACUCUCUCUAAGGAACUCGGCAAAAUGGCCCCGUAACUUCGGGAGAAGGGGUGCCACCGCAAGGUGGUCGCAGUGAAGAGGCCCAGGCGACUGUUUACCAAAAACACAGGUCUCCGCUAAGUCGCAAGACGAUGUAUGGGGGCUGACGCCUGCCCAGUGCCGGAAGGUUAAGGAAGCUGGUCAGCGCAAGCGAAGCUGGCGACUGAAGCCCCGGUGAACGGCGGCCGUAACUAUAACAGUCCUAAGGUAGCGAAAUUCCUUGUCGGGUAAGUUCCGACCCGCACGAAAGGCGUAACGAUCUGGGCGCUGUCUCGGAGAGAGGCUCGGCGAAAUAGAAUUGUCUGUGAAGAUGCGGACUACGUGCACCCGGACAGAAAGACCCUAUGAAGCUUUACUGUAGCUUGGUAUUGUGCCCGGGCUCUGAAUGCGCAGGAUAGGUGGGAGGCUUUGAUCCAUUGCUUGCGGGUGAUGGUGAGCCAACGGUGAGAUACCACUCUUUCAGAGCUAGGGUUCUAACGGUCACCCGUUAUCCGGGGACCGGACAGUAUCAGGUGGGCAGUUUGACUGGGGCGGUCGCCUCCUAAAAGGUAACGGAGGCGCGCAAAGGUACCCUCAGGCUGGUUGGAAAUCAGCCGACGAGUGUAAAGGCAGAAGGGAGCUUGACUGUGAGACCUACAAGUCGAACAGGGACGAAAGUCGGCCUUAGUGAUCCGACGGUCCUGAGUGGAAGGGCCGUCGCUCAACGGAUAAAAGUUACUCUAGGAUAACAGGCUGAUCUCCCCCAAGAGUUCACAUCGACGGGGAGGUUUGGCACCUCGAUGUCGGCUCACCGCAACCUGGGGCUGAAGUCGGUCCCAAGGGUUGGGCUGUUCGCCCAUUAAAGCGGUACGCGAGCUGGGUUCAGAACGUCGUGAGACAGUUCGGUCCAUAUCCGGUGCAUGCGCAGGAACAUUGAGAGGAUUUCUCCCUCGUACGAGAGGACCGGGAGGAACGCACCUCUGGUGUACCAGUUAUCGUGCCAACGGUAAACGCUGGGUAGCCAUGUGCGGAGCGGAUAACCGCUGAAAGCAUCUAAGUGGGAAGCCCACCUCAAGAUGAGUGUUCCCAUGGCAUAAGCCAGUAAGGUCACGGGAAGAACACCCGUUGAUAGGCUCUACGUGGAAGCGUGGCAACACGUGAAGCGGAGGAGUACUAAUAGACCGAGGGCUUGAC
rnacentral:rRNA from 1 species